UGCUAUGGUAUAACUUAGUGGCAGACGGGUGAGUAAUGUAUAGGAAUCUACCUAGUAGUACGGAAUAAUUGUUGGAAACGGCAACUAAUACCGUAUACGCCCUACGGGGGAAAAAUUUAUUGCUAUUAGAUGAGCCUAUAUUAGAUUAGCUAGUUGGUGGAGUAAUAGCCUACCAAGGCAAUGAUCUAUAGCUGAUCUGAGAGGAUGAUCAGCCACACUGGAACUGAGAUACGGUCCAGACUCCUACGGGAGGCAGCAGUGGGGAAUAUUGGACAAUGGGCGAAAGCCUGAUCCAGCCAUGCCGCAUGAGUGAAGAAGGCCUUUGGGUUGUAAAGCUCUUUUAGUGAGGAAGAUAAUGACGGUACUCACAGAAGAAGUCCUGGCUAACUCCGUGCCAGCAGCCGCGGUAAUACGGAGAGGGCUAGCGUUAUUCGGAAUUAUUGGGCGUAAAGGGCGCGUAGGCGGAUUAGUAAGUUAAAAGUGAAAUCCCAAGGCUCAACCUUGGAAUUGCUUUUAAAACUGCUAAUCUAGAGAUUGAAAGAGGAUAGAGGAAUUCCUAGUGUAGAGGUGAAAUUCGUAAAUAUUAGGAGGAACACCAGUGGCGAAGGCGUCUAUCUGGUUCAAAUCUGACGCUGAGGCGCGAAGGCGUGGGGAGCAAACAGGAUUAGAUACCCUGGUAGUCCACGCUGUAAACGAUGAAUGUUAAAUAUGGGAAGUUUUACUUUCUGUAUUACAGCUAACGCGUUAAACAUUCCGCCUGGGGACUACGGUCGCAAGAUUAAAACUCAAAGGAAUUGACGGGGACCCGCACAAGCGGUGGAGCAUGUGGUUUAAUUCGAUGCAACGCGAAAAACCUUACCACUCCUUGACAUGAA
rnacentral:rRNA from 1 species